rnacentral:lncRNA from 1 species
AACCAGCCUGACCCCUAAGGGUAGCAUCGAUCAAUUGCAUGUAGCCAGAGCUACCAGUGUAUUGUUUUCUCCCGUCCCUUUGAUGCUUUAGUUGUUGCUAGGCCAACAUCAAUGCAGGUCGGGUUGAAGGACAGGCAAAAGGCAAAACAUUUGGAAGUCCUUAGUCAUCGUCGGAAACAUCAAGGGUAUAAGAGCAUCUCUAGCAGAUCCGGUAAACGGCCAUCCCCGAAACGAACGCCGGACGCUGAGCCAGAAUAGAUCCUUCAAACAUAUACCGCAUAUUCAAACUUGCAGUUCACACUUAAACUAGAUCACCGGAGUUCAUACAUAAACGCUUGCCGAAGUUCAUACUUCCUCCGGUCCUUUGUAGUCUGCAUAUAAGUUUUGUUUAAAGUCAAAGCAUCUCUACUUUGACCAAACAUAUAGAAAAAAUGUAUCAAGAUUUACAAUGUCAAAUCAAUAUUCUUAGAUUCAUUACAAAAUGUAGUUUCAUGGAAUAUAAAUUUGGCAUGGUAAAUAUUGAUAUUUUUUAAUAUAUAUUUGGUCAAACUUUGCAAAGUUUGACUCGACCCAAACCUAAUACGCGGAGUAAAAAUGACCGGAGGGAGUACUACAUACCAGAGUUCAUGUUUAAUAAAAAAGGAAAUUAAACAGUUCAUACUUAAACGGGGUGCAUACUAGCGUGCUUCCAAAUAAAGAAGCGCCAAGCACUACCAUGUAAAAGAAGUCUUGGGGAAGCUGAACUACUUCCCUCGCUUAGGUAUUAAAAUGCACCUUGUCACAUUACAAACUUACUCAACGAAGGCACAUGUUCAGCAAGUUCUUCCACAUAACGUAUGUGCACACUGCCGGCCACAUUGAUGGAAUGCGACAAACUCGGUAGGGACUAGGGACGACAGCUGCCCUUGACUACUUCACCUGCAGACAACAAAAUUGCUAAUCCGUUAGUAAAUAUAGUAGAUACAUGCAGAACCUGAUAUGCGUAUGCAGCAUACAUGGUUAAAAAAGCCUAUGAGCAAGAUGUGUGUGCAAGCUCGUAAAACAUAACAGAUAUCACACUCUUCGCUAUAUCUCCUAGGAUUGCAAAUGACAGCGAAUUACACCAUUGAAGCCUUUUGACAAUGUAAUUUAUUUGUGUGGGAUAGUUGAAUGCUACUAAUGUCGUGUUUUCAGCUAGCUGACCCUGGCAAAACCAAGGGAGAACUCUAGGCAUGCCCAAACAGGCACAAGGCAGUAAUAUAGUAAUUAACAGCAACACCACUAUAUGCAACACAUGGAUAUCAUUUGCGACCCAAAAGGGACAGUCAUUUUGCCUUUGGCGUCACUGUCGUUUUUAAUUUGUUUGUGUGCUAUUGACAUGCAUGAAUCCAUAUAGCCGAACGGGAUGCAGGCUGCAUACGCUGGCAGCAAGAUAUUCUUAUGCUCUGUUAGAGAGAAGGUGAUGACAGUCCCUAGGUAGAAGACUCAGCGCGAUCUCCGAAGACUGGAGAAAUCUGGAAAGGCUACUCAACUAGAGAAGGUUACCUUUUUCUUCUUCUGAUAAUCUCUAUCACUCGUCUAUUAUACAUUGAUUACAUUCCCAUGUUCUAACAUCUUCCUGCUAUCAGUCAGAGUGCUGAAAGCGAACUAAAGGAAAGUCUGAGGAAAGGUGUCUAUUGUGACAUUUAUAAUUACCCCUUCAAUCAGUUUGAUACUAUACUUGACAUAGAAAAAGAUGAUAUGGCUCCUGAGAUGGAAGAGGAAGAAGUAAGGACAGUACCGAGUAUAUGAGACAUAAGCUAACUUAGUUGUGUUCUCAUAGCUCACAAGCUUUCCUACAUGCUGUGUGGAUUCACUUGCCAACAAAGCAAGGUAAGAUAGACUAUGCUGAAUGUGCUGAUAUCGAGAUGGGUGAAAUGGAAGAUAUGGAAGAUAUGGAAUACUUUGAAGACUUCGGUAGUGAAGAUGGUAAACAUUUUCCCUUGUUUCUACUGAUUUUGAUUGGCCAUGUUAUAGAGUGCUCUGACAUGUGAAGAUACCUUUUUCCUGUGUUCGCUAGGUAAUGUAAUGAAGUUUUCCAUUUUCUGAAUUAUGGGCCUUGGAAAUCCCAUUCUGAUUUGUCUAAUAUGUUCAUGAUGCAGAAAUGUUUAUUUUGACAAAAUGGUUUGAAUGAACCAGUAACAAAGAAGCCCAAGGUACCAUGCUCUGAUUUAAGAUCAAAGAUUGAGCAGAAGUCUACGAUAGUUAUCACCGAGGUAAAUCACUUGUUUCAGUAUGAGUAUUCUGAUGUCAUGAAACACCAUGUCGCCUGCAUACAUAGUUAAAAAAAACACUAGCCGUUAAUUGUGCGUUUUGCCACUGCCUUGUGCUUUCUGACCAAAGUGCACACUUAUGCGUAAUUAUGCGCAUAUUAACUGCAAUUAAGCACUAGGCAUUUUUCUAUAGUAUAGAGCCUAGGCCUGCCUUUUUUAACCAUGCCCGUACAUAGACAAAAAUCAAACACAUCUUAUUGGUUUUGUCACAUAUUUGGUGUCCAACUAGUAGUAGGGAAUCCAUAUAUGCUUUUCUCUUUAUCUACAUUUCUCUUCACAGGAGAAGUUUCCCCUAAGCAUGCACAUACUAUUAGCUUUUCUUUUUCAAAAAAUGCUACUAAUGUCUUGCUUUCAGCUAGCUGACUAUUAAAUGGCAAAACCAAGGGAGAACUCUAGCAUGGCCAAACAGGCACAAGCAGGUAAUAUUAACAGCAACAACACUAUGUGCACAUCUGGAUAUCAUUUACAAGCUACGACCCAAAAGGGACAUUCAUUUUGCCUUGGCCACCAUCGUUUAAAAUUUGUGUAUGUGCUAUUGACAUGCAUGAAUCCCUAUAGCCGAAUGGGCAAUAGUUUGUGAGAUGCAAGCUACCUGAAUUGGCAGACAGAUAUUUUCCAUACAAAAAAACCAAACAAUCCAGAUCUCACAAACUAUAUCCUGAAGAUGGUGUUACCUUUAGGACCAUUCCAGCAUAUUACCACACAAGACUAGACAGUCAUCCUACAUAUCUUGCAGCAUUCCAGCUCCGCCACGUCCACCAGGAAUGGCUACGCCCAGAAGCAUAAGAAGUCAGGCA